rnacentral:tRNA from 1 species
CGCGGGGUAGAGCAGCCUGGUAGCUCGUCGGGCUCAUAACCCGGAGGUCGAGUGGUUCAAAUCCCUCCCCCGCAA